CGUCUCUCCCGCCCUGGCCUGAGUUCCCGCCGCGCUCUUGGGCCUGAGGGACCCGCGUGGAGCUCGCAGCGCCUCGGAAACUGGGGGAGGCAAGGCUGCACAAUGACCCAGACGGUGCCUUCUGCCAGGGGCGGCCCUGCCUGGGCAGCUUAUAGGAUGACAGCCUGCUCGCGGGCUUCCUGAGGAGGCUCCUGCCCGCCGAGUGUCUUGCUAAGUCACUAAAUCCAGUUGCCCAAGAUGGAUUUGAAUGUGUGAUCCUCCUGCCUCAGCCUCCUGGAGCUAAAAUUACAGGUGAGCAGCUUUGCUCCACCACACACACCCUGCCCUAAUGUUCUGCCUUCCCAUGGACCCCAAAACAAUGGAGCCAAUCAACAAUGGACUGAUACUUCUGAAAACAUCCGCUAGAAAUAAAUCUUUCCUCCUUAUAAGUUGUUUCUCUCAAGUAUUUUGGUCACAGUGAUGGAAAACUGAAUAACACAAAUAGCCAUGUGAUUUUUGGGUUUCACAGGUAGAAGAGUUACGCUUACUAUAGAUCUUAACAAUAUCAACAUGAUUUUUUUUCUUCACUUUUGAAGUCAAGAACUUCUACCUUUGUCCCUAAAGGAAUCAUUUAUGGCUUCUUUUGGUAAAUUCAAAUUGCAGUUUAUACAGGUUUCAGUCCAUACUCAGCUGGCUCCAAGGCAGGAAGGCAAAGCAGAGGGACAUGGCAGAAGAGAAAUAGUUCAUGGCAUGGGAGUUCCAUUCCUCCCUCUCCGACAUUUUCCCACUCAACAGCUUUGGAGAACAGAACAUCUUUUUCUGCCAUCUAUUCCUCUGUUGGAGGUCAUAUUCCAACUGGCAGGUAGACGGAGAGCAGCAGGACCUGUGACCACGGCAGGGGCCAAGUACAUUUCAAGUGCACAGGAUAAUUCUCCAUGCAUUUAUGUGCUUGUGUAAGCCUAGCCCUGUGGAGCACAUGAGGAUGAAAAACGUGCUUCCCAAUGUCAAGGGGUUUGUGGUGUAUGCAGCUCUCUGCUUUAUGGGAAACACCAAGUACAGAAGAACUUGGACUAAGAGGACCCUUGUGAUGGCUUGGACUCAGCCAGAUUAGUCCAGAUAAUCUCCCAUCUCACCUUGGGCAAAUCUGCAAAGUCUGUUAUGGAGUGUAAGAUAACAUAUUGAACUGGUUCCUGAGAUUAGGAGACUGAAACAUUUGGAGGGCCAUUAUUCUGCCUACCUUGGUUACAACCUGACUGGACCUUCCCAGAGUUGCAGUGAGAUUUAUUCUGGGAUGGCUACAAGAAACUGAAAAUUGGCACCCAGUGCUGCCUUCAUGGUAAGGAGUCAAUGCUCAAUCAACACUAACAGGAGGAUCAAGCAAAACAGGAAGAAGCUGCUCCCUCCUCACUCUUUCCCCUGUCCUCUAGUCUUUCUCUAUUGUCCCUGUUGGCAAGACUUAGCAAGAAGCCAGCUGACUAAGGAUAAUUAGCUUUGCAGUUUCAGUCCAGCAUUGGAGAGCAGUGUAGAAUGGAAGGUUUGAGGCUACAAGACAUUAGCUUAGAAACUGACAAAAAUACCACCAAAAAAGUCAAGUUUUUGUUUGCUGGGUUCGGGGGAUUUCAGUUUUGAAGUUUGAACUCAGGGCCUUCACACUGUGCUACAUUCCCAGCCCUUUCUAUUAUUUUGAGAUGGGGGAGUCUGCUAAGUUGCCCAGGCUGGGCUUGAACUUGCAGUCCUUCUGCCUCAGUUUCCCAGAGUGCUGACAUUACAGGUCUGUGCCACUACAGCUGGGUUAAAAAAAUGAUUUUAAACAAAUGACAGCCUAGGACUACAUUACAGGUACUCCAUGAUUUACAAUGGGUUAUAAUCCAAUAAACCAACAAAUACAUUUAAAAUAUCCAAAUAUAUAAAUUGAAAAUAUCCUAAAUUGAAAAUACAUUUAAUACCUACCAAAUAUACUAAGCAACACAAUACACUGUAGAAUCAAUUGUUUACCUACUUGAUCAUCGGGCUGACUGGGAGUUGUGUAUUAUACCUGAGAGUAGCUGAGUGUAUCAUACCACAUAUUGCUAGUCCAGAAAAAGAGAAAAAUUCAAAGUAUGGUUUCUAUUCAAUGCAUAUCAUUUUCACACUAUCAUAAAGAUCAAAAUUGUAAUUUGGGGACUAUCUAUUUAAUAAAAGGUUCAUAACAAUAUAUAAUGGUUUUUAGAAACCAAUAAGAAAAAGACAACCCAGUAAACAUGGGCAAAACCAUAGUAUGCUGUGUGACUAUAGUAUAGACCAGUAACACAUUCAUUUAUCAUUGUUAAAUAUUAUCUUAUACAUAAUUGUAUGUAUUAUACUUUUAUAUGACUGUUAAUGUACAGUAGGUUUGUUGACACCAGAAUCACAAUUGAGUGAUGAGUUACUUUAUGACAUUAUAGUGGCUACAAAGUCAUUCAGCUAUGGAAAUUUUUCAGUUCUAUUAUAAUCUCAUGGGACCAUCAAUGUAUGUGCUAUCUGUCCUUGCCCAAAAUAUCAUCAUGAGCUGGGAGUGGUGGCACAUGCCUGUAAUCCCAGCACUCAGGAGUCUGAGGCAGGAGGAUCAGCAUGAGUUCGAGGCCAUCCUAGGCUACACCAAUUCAAGGCCAGCCCAAAUUACAUUGCAAGACUUUGUCUCUAAAUAAAUAAAUAGAUAAAUAAAUAAAUAAAUAUGUCAUUAUAUAGCACAUGACUGUAUGCAAGAUGAACCUGAGGUAUCUCAUAGUGCCAAAAGAGAGGUAGCGG
ensembl:lncRNA